AUUUUCUCAUACCCCUUCUAGAAGUCACGCUCUCCUGUGCUUUGUCCUUUUUUUUAUUGCGUCUCACGAUAGCCUUGCUCCUGCGUCGUUGUGCCGACUCGCCUCUCUCACCAUCUCCCCGCUCUGUACUUCACACCUCUGCCUAUCUGUCACGCAUUCUCUGUCAAGUGUGGUUGAGCGGCUCAGCACAGGCCCCAUUUCUUUCUCGCGUCCUCUCUUCUUUUGCCCACAUCAAGCCUAUUUCUGUCGAAGCAUCUCCUCCGCCAUUUUUUUCAACCGUCUCGUUCUCCCUACACGCAACGAUGACCGCUGAGUACGACUACCUCUUCAAGCUGCUGCUGAUUGGCGACAGCGGCGUCGGUAAGUCCUGCCUGCUCCUCCGCUUCGCCGAUGACAGCUACACCGAUAGCUACAUCUCCACCAUUGGUGUCGACUUCAAGAUUCGCACGCUGAACCUGGAAAGCAAGGUAAUCAAGCUGCAGAUUUGGGAUACCGCCGGCCAGGAGCGCUUCCGCACCAUCACGAGUAGCUACUACCGUGGUGCCCACGGCAUCAUCAUAGUGUAUGACACGACCGACAUGGAGAGUUUCAACAACGUCAAGACGUGGCUGAGCGAAAUCGAAAAGUACGCAAGUGAGAACGUCAACAAGAUCCUCGUCGGCAACAAGUGCGAUUUGGUCACAAAGAAGGCCGUCGAUACGCAGAUGGCGAAAGACUUUGCCGACUCCCUUGGCAUCCCGUUCCUUGAAACGAGCGCCAAGAACUCCACAAACGUCGAGGAAGCCUUCAUUCAAAUGGCAUCUGGAAUCAAGGCGCGCCUGGCUGUGAGUGGUGAGGUCAAAUCUGCGUCCCGUCCCAACCUGCAGAACCCCCCAACGGUGAAGAAGGAAGACAGCUGCUGCUAAGCAUUGCGAGAUACGGGCACGAUACACAAAGGGACGGGCCGCCGCAGAGUGGGGGGAAGGGUCGGGAGUUCCCCUGCCUUCUCUCGACCCGAGGGACGUUAACUCUCCCGUGAUCUGCGGACAAAAGCGCGGCGUCGAGGAAAGGUGGGCGGCAUACGACGCCAAUGGUGCACUGAAGGUGAGCGAAAAGGCACGCAGGGAUGCGUCGCUCUUCUUGAGCUGUGUCGUGAUGUGUCGGUGGCCGUUGUCCUCGGUUGAGUGAGAGGCGCGAUCGUGUGUUCCCCCUCCGCGCCACCCCGGCACAAGUGCCUGCGGGCUGCUUGUAGGCACGUAUGCGUCCAUGGGUGUGAUCCCAUCGUUGCGUGACUGUCCGUCUACCCCUCCCCUCCCCUCCCCCCGUAUGCCCAAGCUGGAAGAGGCGGACACGGACGCGCACAAUGCUGUGGAGACUCGAGAUGAGAGUUUUGAAGCGAGACAGAGAAACCGUCAAUGCGUUUUUACUUUUUUGAGCAGUCUUAUAUCCAUUUGCGUCGCUGAUGGUUUUCUCCUCUCUUAGGCAAUUCCCCUGACGCGCUGUAUACGCUGGCGACUCACGAAAACCCACACGAGGGGCUCCCCUGCAGAUGCAACUGUCCUGUGUCAUGUACAAAACACAGAAAAAGGUAUGAAAAAGCAGAGAAGGAAAAAAAAGAAAAAAAAACAAAACAAAAGAAGCAUGAAGGAGCAUGAAGGAGCGGCUUCACGACGGGAAGCGGGGCACCUGUGGUAUGGAUGUUCGGUGGCAAGAAGUGUGUUUGAGCGUAUAUCUCCGUGCGUCUGUGUGUGUGUGUGUACACGUCCAACAGAGUCUCGCAAGGGUCGGAUCCCUUCUACCUCCUUCCCCUUCCCCUCCCCCUCCCCCCCUCGCCGGACUCUCCCCGCCCGCUGCUGCGUUCUCCUUCGAUGUCGAUCGUUUGUACAUCGUCUUUUCUUUUCGUGCUUCAGUAUUGGGAGGAUGGGCGUUUUUUGUUUUGUUGUUUUGUUCUGCUCCCGUUUUGUUGAUUUUUGUUGCUUCCUUUACUUUGUUUUUACGUCCUGGGCGCUCCCCUCUGUCGGUGCGUGUGUAAGCUUGCUUCUGUGUUCUUGCGUUUGAGGAAUAGUGAAGGGAGUGAAACAUCUCUAAAUGGUGUGCGCUUCAGGUUGUCUAUUUCGUUGCAUCGUGUGCGCACGGGAGAGAGAGCGCCCCCCUCCACUCUCUGCCACAUACGUACAAAGAGGGAAAAAAGGAGGUGUGUGAAAAUAUUCGGCAGGAUUGUUGGCAGAUGCGCCUUGGAAGGGAACCGGUGCGGGCGGCGGGGAAGAGUGUCAGGGUGAGAAGGGUGGAGAGGGCCACAGCGAUGGUGCUACAACAAACAACGGAAGGUGUCUCUCCCUCUCUCUCUCUGCUUGUCACUCAGUGUGUGCGUGCAAAAUGGCGAGAUAUCAGUUGUGUUCGUGUGUCUGACUGUCACCCUUCUUGAGUCCACCACCUCCCGAGCUCUACAUCCCUUCCCACACAUGCGCGUCUUCCGUAUUUUUGUUCGUCCGAAGAUGAAGUUGUGUUAGCACUUGAAAAGGAAAGAGUGAUGCGCCAUUCCUUUAUUUGUCGUCACGCCGUCUGCGUUUGUUUUUUACUGAUUUCGUUUCUGUUUACGUCGUCAGUGUCUCUUGGCAGUUGUGUGUUCAAUAUAUAUAUAUAUAUAUGUGUGUGUCGGCUCCUCUUUCGAGGAAAAAAAAAGAAAAACGCAAAACAAUCGCACGCAACAAGCGCUGCACGAAACUCUCUGCCUGCCUCGGACGCUCUGUCUGUCUGUCUGUGUCUUCUGUGCUUUUUCUUUUACUUGGCGGGUCGAGUCUCUGUUCCGCUCCUCCCCGAUCCGUGUGCGCUUGGGCGUCCCCUUUUCUUUGCUUUUCGGCUCACUCGUUGUUUUACGUCAUUCUCUAUUUUGUGCUACCAGUGUAUGCUAGUGCCUGGUUGUGCGUCUGUGUGUAGGUAGGUGGACGCGCGUCUGCGGGCGCAUGGGUCCUUUGCUUGUAUGUCUGCGCCGGCGUGCGUCUAUGCGUCUUCCCCUUGUCAUUCUCCUCCUUUCCCCCUCACUCAAAAAAGGGUAGAGAGAGUUCGGCCACCAUUACCAUAUAUAUAAGGGAAGAAGCGAGAGAAAAACACAGAAGUGACAACAGAAAAACGCUCUUUUUCCUCCUCCCCACUCCCCAGAGAAAAGGAAAAACAACAGCAGAUUUUGAAUAACAGAGAAGUGAAACUCACGUCGGCAGUGACAGUGAUACGCAGCAGAGCAUUAUGUUCACGAGAGUAUGUGGCUGGACGUGUGUGUGUGUGCUGAGCGAUAGGAAUACACGAAAAAAAAAAUAAAGAAGAAAAGGAAGCACUGAGGCAAACGAGGGAGGGGGAUGUGGCAGCAUUCUAGUGUGAUGUGUACGCAACGCCCUCUUUUUUUUUGUAUUCAUCUCCUGCCCCUCUAACACUUACCCCCGGGCCCUCCCCUCACCUCCCUUCCCUUCCUUCUUUGGUGCUUGACGGGCCUCCUUCAGGAAAGCAGGCUGAC
rnacentral:misc_RNA from 1 species